GACGAACGCUGGCGGCGCGCUUAACACAUGCAAGUCGAACGGAAAGGCCUGCUUUCCCUUGUGGGUUGCGGGUACUCGAGUGGCGAACGGGUGUGUCACACGUUAGUGAUCUGCCCCCAACUUGGGUAUAAGCCUGGGAAACUGGGUCUAAUUCCCGCUAGGACUGCAGGGUGGUGCAUGUGGUGGAAAACGAUUUUCUCGUGGUUGGGGAUGAGCUCGCGGCCUGUCAGCUUGUUGGUGGGGUAUUGGCCUACCAAGGCGGCGACCGGUAGCCGGCCUGAGAGGGUGGACGGAGACAGUGGGAGGGAGAUUCGGCCCAGAGUCCUGCGGGAGGCAGCAGUGGGGAAUAGUAGACAAUGAUCGUGAGCCUUGUGCAGCGGCGCGGCGUAGGGGAGGACGGCGUGCGGGGUGGGAACUCCGGUCGACCGCGGGUAAGCGACCUGGUUGGAAGGGUGGUGACGGUAGUGGUAGAAGAAGCACCGGCUAACUACGUG
rnacentral:rRNA from 1 species